GACAGGUCAUCUUGAAGCCUAUCACACUUUGGGCAAAGUUUUAAAGGAACAUGCUUGGUUUUGUACAUCCAGAUAUGAAGAGCUGAUUGAUUUAUUACUUGGCCUGAAAUCUCCAGCUGAUGUUGCAACUCUUAUGCGCCGUUUAGCAUGUUUUCAUAUUCUUCUGGUUCAUACAUUGAAGGAAAGCUUGGAAGAAGAGAAUACGAAAGCUUUUCUUAUCCUCAAUGAGAU